AAAAAUAGUGGGAAGAAAAAAACGAAAUCGAAAAACGAAAAAAAAUGAAAUGCACCGGUGGGGUCUGUUCGCAUCUCUCUGCGUAAUCUUAUUCUUCUUUUCUGGUUAGUUUUGUUAUCAUUACUGUCAUGUUCUUUCUUUCUUCUUUUUAUUGGUUUUGUUA
rnacentral:ribozyme from 1 species